rnacentral:rRNA from 1 species
UGCGUAGGCGGCGCGGUAAGUCGGGUGUGAAAUCUCGGAGCUUAACUCCGAAACUGCAUUCGAUACUGCCGUGCUUGAGGACUGGAGAGGAGACUGGAAUUUACGGUGUAGCGGUGAAAUGCGUAGAUAUCGUAAGGAAGACCAGUGGCGAAGGCGGGUCUCUGGACAGUUCCUGACGCUGAGGCACGAAGGGUCAGGGAGCAAAC